rnacentral:snRNA from 1 species
GUGCUCACUUCAGCAGCACAUAUACUAAAAUUGGAACGAUACAGAGAAGAUUAGCAUGGCCCCUGCACAAGGAUGACAUGCAAAUUCGUGGAGCAUUCCAUAUUUAA